rnacentral:lncRNA from 1 species
AUCCCCCAAGUGUUUUUGGAAGUAUAACUCUGGCCCAUUGACAAGGUGAAAAUUAUGAGUAUUAUUAUUGCCCUCCCAUAGGAAUGAACAUCUGAGUCUAUCAAGCUGCUUUUGAACUUUGUUUGAAAUUGGAAAGAGGGACAUAAAAAUAGGUUGGAAUACUGUUGAGAACACUCCUUAUAAGAGUUGGUCUACCCCCUAAGAGAGAUACUGCUCCUGCCACAAUGUAAAUCUUUCCUCAAAAUUUUCAAAGGCCACAUUCCAUAAUUCAGCUGAUCUGUGUCUAGCUCCCAAGGGAAGGCCUAGGUAUGUGGUAGGAAAUGAGCUAGUAAUGUAGCACAUAAUAUCAGCCAAAACCUCCAACUUAUGGACCCACAUUAAUGGGAUAUAUGAUACUUUUGACAUGUUAAUAUGCAACCCAGACAAGACUUCAAAUAUCCUUCGAGUAAUGUUGAGGUAUUGAACUUAGGACUUCUCCCACUGCGUGAAACUGCAUAGAAAUAAUUCAUCGACAAACAGUAAGUGAGACAUAGAAACUGAUGGACCAGAAAUUCACCUACAUCAAAACUCUCCCACUGCG